GUCAGCGGGCUUGCUUCCAUUUUUUAUAUUUGUCUGCCAUAUGCUAGGUGAUUCUCAACAUUGCCUUCUAAAUAGCUGUUGAAAUGCAGAAGCUACACUAAAUAUCAUUACAGUAUAACCUUUACAAAGAUGGACAUUUUCUAAAAGUUACAACCGAGCUAGUUGUGGCGUUUUGGUUGCUUUUGAUCAGGUCUAAAAGCAUAAUUGCAUUGCAAGUAAAAUUUACAGAAGCAGCUUUUAGUAACUGCGGUACGAGACAAUGUCUGGCAUCGUGACGUCAAGCAUCUGGAACUUUAUCAACAUAUGCCCGGCACCACAGUUAGUAAUAAAUUGCUCCUGUAAAUUUUGGCGAGACUGAAAUUACUUUUGGAGAUGGAAAAAACAAAAAGGGAUUGCAGCUGAAUACUAUUAUUAAGCACAUCUGCAUGGUUCCUUUACGUAAGCGUGAAAAAGUGUAAAGUUAUAAAGGUUAUGAUAAAAGCAGUCUCAGUCGAAUGCCAAUGAGGUGUUCCUGUUAAGUGCAACACACACUACAAAACACACAGACACACACACACAAACAAGGGAUAAGCACAGGUAGACAGUUGUAUGACCACCAUGUCCAGUACACUGGGGCAAGGGAAAGCAGAAAUGACCGACUCAGGCUGUACAGUUGAAAGACUUGCAUUUUCAUAUCCCUCCCCUAUACAAGGCCAUCCAUCUCUCACGGCCUCGUCCUAUGCUUGUCCCGCAAAAGGGCUGAAGGCAACAUAAUGGGGCUGAAGGCAACAUAAUGCAACAAAGUGGCUGCUAUCACAGCACAAGCACACACAUGCUCAUAUUGUUCAACGAGGACCAAGAAAAAGAGGUGAUCAUCGGGAUUACAGCGAAGUAGGAAGCCGGCAUACUUGAAAGUUUCCUCGGGAAAGUAAACAAGUGUUGGAGACGCGGAACCCAACACCGCGAUUACACCAGCUGUCCCUAAUAUUCAAAGAAGCCCAGAAAACCAGCCAAUACCCUCAUCAGCAAAUGUCACCCCCCCCCCCACUCCUCCCCCAGGUUCCUGCCUCAAUUUUUAAAACAGCUAGCAAACAAUGUGGGUGUUAUCGUGCAACUACGCCUUAAACAAGAAUUAAAUGGGAAUUGCUUUGUCCAGUGAUGCACAAUUGCGGUUCAAAAACUGCGGGGGGUCCAUUACUAUUGCAGGUGACGGUACAUGUAGUCUUCAUCAAAAGCUUCGAAGCCACUGCACAGAUUAUUGGAAUGUCUCGUGGGCAUUGCUUUGAAGAUCCAGAGGUUGAAAAACACAGAUGUUACUCCGCUUUCGUGAGCUUCAGGCCUGCAUCUGUAGCCAUGUUUUUGAUCCAGAAGGGUUUUCUAGAAUUUGACCUCCAUGUGCAAGUCACACAUGGUAGACUAGCGAAUUUUAAGAAAGUUUGGAGGCUGAAAUGCUUCCUUUCUGCCUCUGGCAUGUGUGACACGGGAGCAUUGCUGCAAGUUCCCAUGGCAUAUCCAAAUGGCAGAGUAUGGCUUUGAAAUUCUAGGAAAAGAGCACCUUGCUAGAGAGUGUUCAGAUAUGUCCACCUUCCUACUCAGCUCACGAGUACAGCAUAACGUGAACACAAGCCUCUCACCAGUAACUAACCUGCGCGUUUCAGAGGGGAAAGCUCGCAUGUGCUGUACACAAAGUUCUAUCGAUGGACAAAGCCAACGUGUGACUGCACCUAACAGUCAUCGCAAGCAUUUACUACAACGGCGAAACAGCAAUAGCUAGCACGUACGCUGGGUACCUUAGCAAUCCAGAGCAUUUUGGGCACCAAACAAAACAUGCGCAGAUUCCAACAGACAUGUCCCCUCCAUAAGUGCAGCUGUUUAGUCGAGAUGCCCUAUUUGGUGGGUUUCAAGCUUAACUUGGACCACCUGCACCGAAAUAUCUAUACAUGGAUGUUUUCUAGGUGCCACAGCAAAUUAUUAUCGCAGCACGGAAUUUGACAGACCAAUUUCCCACAAAAAGCAGUUGGUUUAGAACUUUAGAUUACCAGGUUUUUGAACUAUGAAUGUCAGUUAAAAUUUUUUCGCCUCAGUUGUAUUGCACAGCUCUCGAGCAACGCCAUGUGGGCUUUUCCGCAUGACAACCUUCGUUGCUUUCCAAUUGUAGGCAACAUUAAGUAUCGGGCACUGACAGAGGUCUCUGCACUAACAGCCUCCAAUGGCAUUUCAUCCUAAAGUUCUUGUGUGGCAAGCCUAGCAAAUAAAAAGCAGCACCCAUGCUGUUCAAUUCAAGUCAUUUGUAGGAAGUUAGGAAGUUUCUAUAAAUCAGGAGGAACGCCUUGAGCGUGAAACAGAAUAGUGGGUCAGCAGCGUACGGGCAGGACAUCGUCCACACGAGUUCCUUAGCACUGCCAAUGUUGUUUUGCAUUGUACACAAAACUUGUACAUACCAAGCUUCCUACAACACUGAAUGCAGUCGAGCAAGCAAAGGACACCACUGUUAUGAACUUACAACUGCCACUCUCAGAAGGCAGAAUUGGCUGAGGUAAGUAAUCUAUUGCAGCAGACGGAGGUGAACUUAAAACUUGAUAAAAAGAUAGUGAGCUCCAUUCGAAUUCAGUCUGAUCAAGGACUUCACGAGACAGCCAACAGAUCCAACCAACACACGAAGCAGUAGUUGUCAAAAUUUUAAAGUUUUAGGCACCACAGACAACACGAUCCACUUCCAGAUUGCUUGGACACCUGACUGAACUUUCCAUCCUUCCAGAGAAAGAACAUGCACUGCAUACAAUACAUCAUGAUGGCGCCAUAAUA
rnacentral:lncRNA from 1 species